GAUGCUGGCCAAUGGACCAUGAAUAUGCUGGAAUGUCUAUUUUUCUAGAACUUGGCGAAACUGUGUUUUACUGCAGGCUUUGCCGCCAGAUACAAAAAGGCAUACAGCUGUCACAAGGAGGGCACUGCACACAAAGUCUCAGCUGUAAACACCACUUCAAAAUAUAAACUCGCUCUUUGGAAUACACUGUGUCAAAGGCUUCCCAUAUGAAUACCGUUGUUAUAAAACGGCGACAUUUCCUUUGACAAGCAGACAAAACGCACCCGUUAUCUUACACACAUUUCCAUCUCCUUGUAGCAAUUCCCAUCUCUACCUGCGCUACUCUCAUCCACCCAUACAGGCACAGGCCACUUCUAUUCCUUCACAAGGGCGGAGGAGACUGGGCUUGGGCCGUGUGACUUGCAUGGCCAUCAGCAAACAUGGUGCGGAGACUUGAUAGGUGAUGUACAAAAGUGAGCCCUUCCUCCUUGGAACCCAGCUGCCAUGCUUUAAGAAAGCCAGUCUAACCGGCUAGCAGAUGAGAAACUACGCACUCUCGCUGACCAACGCCAACUUCCGGAAAUGUGAAUGAAACCGUCUUGGAUGUUUCUAUUUCGGCCCCAGUAGAGCUCCCAUCUGUUUGCAGCCGCUGAAUGAGCGACCCAGGUGAAUGAAUGACCUUGGUCAAUAUCGCCAGGAGGAGGGAAACCACCCAGCCGAGCGCAGAUAGUACACAGAAUCGUGGCACAUAAUAAAUGGUUAUUGUUUGGAGA